UACGUAGGGUCCGAGCGUUGUCCGGAAUUACUGGGCGUAAAGGGCUCGUAGGCGGCCAACUAAGUCAUACGUGAAAUCCCUCAGCUUAACUGGGGAACUGCGUGUGAUACUGGAUGGCUUGGAUUUGGGAGAGGGAUGCGGAAUUCCAGGUGUAGCGGUGAAAUGCGUAGAUAUCUGGAGGAACACCGGUGGCGAAGGCGGCAUCCUGGACCAAUAUUGACGCUGAGGAGCGAAAGCCAGGGGAGCAAACGGG
rnacentral:rRNA from 1 species